rnacentral:lncRNA from 1 species
UAUUUUGGCAUUGUUGAUGUCAUGCUUGAGGACAUGACAUGCCUGCCCCCCGCCCCCCCGCCAGGGUCAUACCUGGUGGGAAACUGCUGCCUGUGGAAAAAGCCAUUACCGACAAACUUGUCGCCAGUGGGAAAGGCCAUUACGUCCCAUCCCUCAGUUCCAAGAAACAUCUGUACCGCCGUCUGCUCCAAGGAGCACAGACCACCCUAUCUUUGCCCCCAGACACUUCGAGGCAAUGAAUCCUCUGACCAAGGGAAAACCAUUGAAGCUUUUGAAAGGGGAAGUGACACGGCCUGACAGCUUCUCUCUGGCUGCUUUGUGGAAAGAUGCCUUCAGGAGAGCAAGAACAAAAGAUGAUAGCAAUAAUCCAGACCAGAGACUACACUGUGCCAUCCAAUAUAGAGCC